GAUCAUGGCUCAGGAUGAACGCUAGCUACAGGCUUAACACAUGCAAGUCGAGGGGUAGCACGGAAGAAGCUUGCUUCUUGGGUGACGACCGGCGCACGGGUGAGUAACGCGUAUCCGACCUACCCAUAACUCGGGCACAGCCGCUCGAAAGAGUGAUUGAUUCCCGAUAUGUCAUUAGAGUAGAUUUAAUGAUGAAAGAUUCAUCGGUUAUGGAUGGGGAUGCGUAAGAUUAGGUAGUAGGCGGGGUAACGGCCCACCUAGCCGACGAUCUUAGGGGUUCUGAGAGGAAGGUCCCCCACACUGGUACUGAGACACGGACCAGACUCCUACGGGAGGCAGCAGUGAGGAAUAUUGGUCAAUGGUCGGAAGACUGAACCAGCCAAGUAGCGUGAAGGAUGAAGGUUCUAUGGAUUGUAAACUUCUUUUAUACGGGAAUAAAACCUCCCACGUGUGGGAGCUUGUAUGUACCGUAUGAAUAAGCAUCGGCUAACUCCGUG
rnacentral:rRNA from 1 species